GACGAACGCUGGCGGCGUGCUUAACACAUGCAAGUCGUACGGUAAGGCCCUUUCGGGGGUACACGAGUGGCGAACGGGUGAGUAACACGUGCGUAACCUGCCCACAACUUUGGGAUAACGCUAGGAAACUGGUGCUAAUACUGGAUAUGUGCUCCUGCUGCAUGGUGGGGGUUGGAAAGCUCCGGCGGUUGUGGAUGGACUCGCGGCCUAUCAGCUUGUUGGUGGGGUAGUGGCCUACCAAGGCGGCGACGGGUAGCCGGCCUGAGAGGGUGACCGGCUACAUUGGGACUGAGAUACGGCCCAGACUCCUACGGGAGGCAGCAGUGGGGAAUAUUGCACAAUGGGCGCAAGCCUGAUGCAGCAACGCCGCGUGCGGGAUGACGGCCUUCGGGUUGUAAACCGCUUUCAGCAGGGACGAAGCUUUUUGUGACGGUACCUGCAGAAGAAGCACCGGCUAACUACGUG
rnacentral:rRNA from 1 species